AUGGAAUCAAUGAUGUGAUCAAGUAAAUAAGGAUUGUGAAACAGAAAAUAUAGCCUGGGCUGAAAGCUAUAUCACCCCUCCUUAUUGAACCCUGCCACGGAGAUUGUUAGUAAAGCUAACCGGGUCGUUUCGUUACAAACGUUUGGAGGACUUUAGAUUUUAAAUUAAAGUCGAACUAAGGUGGUACCACGUCUAUUAGCGUAAAGACGUCCUUUUG
rnacentral:ncRNA from 1 species